rnacentral:rRNA from 1 species
AACGAACGCUGGCGGCAUGCCUAACACAUGCAAGUCGAACGAGACCUUCGGGUCUAGUGGCGCACGGGUGCGUAACGCGUGGGAACCUGCCCUUAGGUUCGGAAUAACUCCCCGAAAGGGGUGCUAAUACCGGAUAAUGUCUUCGGACCAAAGAUCUAUCGCCUUUGGAUGGGCCCGCGUUGGAUUAGCUAGUUGGUAGGGUAAAAGCCUACCAAGGCGACGAUCCAUAGCUGGUCUGAGAGGAUGAUCAGCCACACUGGGACUGAGACACGGCCCAGACUCCUACGGGAGGCAGCAGUGGGGAAUAUUGGACAAGGGGCGAAAGCCUGAUCCAGCAAUGCCGCGGGAGUGAUGAAGGCCUUAGGGUUGUAAAGCUCUUUUACCCGGGAUGAUAAUGACAGUACCGGGAGAAUAAGCACCGGCUAACUCCGUG